AGUAACCGAUUGGCGAAAUAAAUUUUUUGUUCGUUUGAUGAUAACCUUUCGCUACGCCACCCGGCCACCAGCACCUCACCGGCAUAUAUUUCUUUGUGCCAAGAUCUGGUCACAGUUUAACCAGUUCUUGCCUGCCUGCCGAAAGCAACCGCCACGUGUGCCCAUUGGACGGCACUGUAAUUUCUUGGGACGGCAAUGUCAUUACUGCCCCCAUUAAAUAGACGUCAGCCUCAACUGCGGAUCAGCUGCCAUUUCCUUGCUCAUGCCAGCAAGAAAGGGCAGGCGCCGUUUCCACAGUCUGGAAUCCGGAAGAGGGAGUAGCCUUUUGGGCCCCAGUGACGCGCCGCUGAUCAGAAGCCCAGAUGACAUCGCCCAUUAAGUUGGCCGGAGCGUGCAGAUGCAUGAAAAUUGCUGUUAAAUGUUUUUAGUAAAAAAAUAGUUAAUUAAAUCUUGUGAGAGACUUCCAAAAGUUUGCGGAAAGUGCAUUUAGUAGGGCCCUCUAAAAACCUCGUGCAAGUGCAGUGAAAAAAAAAACAAAAUUUACAUCUAUAUGUAUAUCUUUAUAUAUAUAGAAAGAAUUAAUAGUGUAAAUUUAUCCCCCUUCUUGUUGGGGUAGAGUCCAAAGUCAUUUCUGAAUUUUUUUUAUAUUUUUUUUAAUUUUUCCCACUUAAUUUCGGAGAGUAUCUUUUAAGUACUCACAAUUUAAAAAUUCUCCUGUGCCAUAAUAAAUAAUCAAAACAAUUUAAAGCCCCACAGAAGACAAAAGAAAUCAAAUGAAAGAAAAAAAAUAAAAUUUGCUGCAAACUCUCCGCUGGAAGGCCUUUCAUCGAGGAAUACAUGUAAGUCUGUACCUUUUGUUUUGAUUAUAUUUUCUUAUUUUGGCACAGAUAAGCACAGCCAAGCUGACAUGCGCACCUGCUGAGCUUUUUACGACUUUCUGUUU